AGUGAACGCUGGCGGUAGGCCUAACACAUGCAAGUCGAACGGCAGCACAGUAAGAGCUUGCUCUUACGGGUGGCGAGUGGCGGACGGGUGAGGAAUACAUCGGAAUCUACUUUUUCGUGGGGGAUAACGUAGGGAAACUUACGCUAAUACCGCAUACGACCUACGGGUGAAAGCAGGGGAUCUUCGGACCUUGCGCGAUUGAAUGAGCCGAUGUCGGAUUAGCUAGUUGGCGGGGUAAAGGCCCACCAAGGCGACGAUCCGUAGCUGGUCUGAGAGGAUGAUCAGCCACACUGGAACAGAGACACGGUCCAGACUCCUACGGGAGGCAGCAGUGGGGAAUAUUGGACAAUGGGCGCAAGCCUGAUCCAGCCAUACCGCGUGGGUGAAGGAGGCCUUCGGGUUGUAAAGCCCUUUUGUUGGGAAAGAAAAGCAGCAGGUUAAUACCCCGCUGUUCUGACGGUACCCAAAGAAUAAGCACCGGCUAACUUCGUG
rnacentral:rRNA from 1 species